CUUCGCUCCUACCCGCCAGCCCCGCGGCCUUCUUCCGCGGGCCCGCGCAAUGGAGUUGGCGACGCGAAACCCCGGGCAGCAGAGAGCUGACGGGGGCAGCGCGUGAGGGGAAGAGGCCUGUUAAUUAACGCGAUUGCGUAGAGCCACAGGGCCUUAGAGGCUGGGCACCGCUGGCUGCUGGAAGGCGGAGAGCUAGCGGGCCUCUGCGCUCCUCUGCCAGGCUCUCAAAGAUCCGGCGGCCAGGCCUGUGUUGCCGCCUCUUCUGCGGCUCACGCUGUGUAAACUUGGCCUCCUUUUUUCUGCGGGCCCCAGCCUCGCACCUGCCAGAUCGACCCAGGGCUGCGGUGGGCAGAGGUACCCUGGGGGUGGAGGGAGAGACCCGGACUGACAGCAACUACAGUGCUCAGCAAGUUUUUAUAGAGUGGUUUUUAAGAGUACUAAAGACAUGGUAUAUAGUGGUCAAAAUGAAACCAAGCAAAAAAUGACAAGUGGUCUAAUUAGUACUGGCUUCUAGUAAGCAUAUCCUCAAGCAACAUCUGUACUCAGCUCCUUGAAGUAUACUGGGAAUAUUAGCAACAAAAACACACCAGAAACAUCUGGAUAAUCGUGUAGCAACAGACUGGCUGGUAACAAAACUUGAAAUGUGAAUGAAGCGUAAACUACACCACGGGAAAUUAACUCUUUUCUUAUACUUAUUUACACAUUUUAAAUAGAACAUCUAGGAUUCCAUUUUCUCACCAGUAAAUAUCAUAAAUAAUACAAUUUACUUUUGAUUAUUCUGUGGACUUACUGUGUAAUUUUUUGGUGCAGCUGGAGGGUGUGAUGAUAUAGUAGUAUUGUUGGCCUGUAAGAGAUAACUGGCACUAAUCCAAUUUAUGAGAAUUGCUUUCUAGCAUUAUUAUGGUUUCCUACUAAGAGAAGAUACUGUAAUGAGGAAGAACAUUAAACUGUAACUCAUUAUAAUAUAUAGGUACACAUAUGUUAUAAUUUUUGUGAAAUAAAAUACUUUUGCUUAGUAACAGUAAAUAAAAUUUAUGGCAAUUUAAGAGGCAUACAGUAGAGCUGAAUUAAGAUUUUUGCAGGUACUAUGCACCGACAUGAUUUUGAUGUCUUACCACCUCACCUCAUAUGUAAAUAAAAUUAAAGUAAUACUAAACCAAAAAAUGUGUAAAGUCUAACAAAGUUGCUUUUGCUGAAAUAUUAAAUCCUUUAAGAAAGUAUUUUUUUUUUUUUACUCUGGUGUAGCUCGUGCCCUAAAGCAUAUAUAUGCUUAGUCUGCUUAUUGUGUAAGCUAGAAGUGGCAGCAUAGAGGUUUUAGCCUUAGCUCAGAGAGCAUAAGUAAGUACUACAAAGUACCUUCAAUGAAAAUCUAAUAUUCAUUGAGUGCCAGUUCACUGAAGUAGAUUCAGAAGUAUUUCUGCCCUCAGUAAGCUUACAUUCUAACAUGGUGUACAAGAAAGAUGCUCAAUUAAGUGCCUAUAUAUUGAAAGUAGUGGUUUUUCUUUUAACAUAGUAAUGACAUAUUACUCAAACACUGAAAAUAGAGGCUUUGUAGUUGGAUAUUAAAUACUCACUGUCAUGAAAUUUUUUUCAACAGUUCACACUCAUUUUA